GUUGAAUAUGAGGUCGAUAGUUGGGUUGCUAAAGAAAUUCAAGUGGCAUGUCGCCGGGUUUUAACCUCCUCACAAGAGCUGUCCUUAUUCUUGGGCUGUCCAAAGCUCCCUGGACAGAAGACUAAGGAGAAACCAACCCAGACUCUGCAAGGGGACGACAACUGGUCGCCUCUCACGUCAUCAAUUAAGAUACAGCAGGCAUAUUCUUUCCCCGCUCCUUCAAGUGUUUCAGAUAAAAAGAGCAUAUAUCGAAGAUUCGAAUACGCGAAAAUGCGUCUUUGCGAUUGGUAGACGUCAGAAGAAUAGACACAUUCUUUCACGAACCGAUAUAAUCAUUGGAAUUAGGUGAAUUAAAAAAUAUGUUUUCAAA